AAUCCCAUUUCAGUACCUUCCACUCUUAUUGUAAUGAGUGGAUGGUUAUGCCAGUGGGAUAGAAAAACUCUGUCUUGGUCUGAAGGUGUGGCUACUGCUGUGUUUCAUCACCCAAUAAAAAGACAGAAUAACAGCAA